ensembl:lncRNA LINC00662 long intergenic non-protein coding RNA 662
GGUUCCGCCGUGCCAAGGGGAGCUUGGCUGUUCACGGGCCUCACCUGCUAGCGAGAAGAUAGCUUGGCCGGGCGGCUGAUCUCACCUUGUAAUUCUGACACUGUGUCUCCCGGGCUUGUCGGCUUCAUGACUUGUGCCCAAAGUUUGAUUUCUCGCAGACCAGGAGGACCCAUUGGACCCCCGGGCUGGCUGCAGGGCCCACACCUGGGUUAGACCUCGCACAGGGACGCUGCUGCCACUGUAAUAAAGCGUGCCUACACGCUUCUGAAACUGGUGUAGGAACAACCUCAGUUCUGUGAAAGGCGGACGCAGCAGGACAGAAUCUCCGUGGACAUCUGUCUGGAGGAGCAAUUUUACUGCGACAUUUUAAAGAAACAAAUUUAAUUGAUUUCCAAGGGUGUCCAUCGCGCUUCCUUCACUGCCUUGAUCAUGUCGGGGUCACCACCUGCGGGGGUUUGUCCUGCAGACCCUGACUCAACGACGGAUGAAUAAUGUACACUGACACAGAUCUUAUGCUUGUCAGUCCUGCUGAGCAUCCAGGCCACUUACAGACUCCAAGAAGAGUCCUGUCAGCCACGGCUCUGACUUGUUGGCCCUCCCGGCAUUUAUUUAGCACACAUUUAAUGACAGAAGUCUCAGGUUGGAAACACUUUUACUGUAUUAUCUAUGAAGAAACGUUUUUGAGGCCAUUAAGUCCUACACUGAAAAACUGAAUAUACUGCAUUAAACAUUCUAAAGAAGCUAACUGUGAAAAUGCUUUGCAAUGUGUGUAUUUAUCUCACAGAGUUAAACCAUUGUUUUGAUUCAUCAGUUUGGAAACAGUUUCUUUGUAGAAUCUAUGAAGGGACCUUUCAGAGGCCAUUGAGGCCUAUAAUAAAGAAACAAAUAUCCCACAAUAAAACAAGAAACAUAUAGAAACAA